CAAUAGCGUAUAUUAAAGUUGUUGCAGUUAAAAAGCUCGUAGUUGAACUUCAGGCCUGGCUGGGCGGUCUGCCUCGCGGUAUGUACUGUCCGGCCGGGUCUUACCUCUUGGUGAACCGGCAUGCCCUUUACUGGGUGUGUCGGGGAACCAGGACUUUUACCUUGAGAAAAUUAGAGUGUUCAAAGCAGGCCUAUGCCUGAAUACAUUAGCAUGGAAUAAUAAAAUAGGACGUGCGGUUCUAUUUUGUUGGUUUCUAGGAUCGCCGUAAUGAUUAAUAGGGAUAGUUGGGGGCAUUAGUAUUCAGUUGCUAGAGGUGAAAUUCUUGGAUUUACUGAAGACUAACUACUGCGAAAGCAUUUGCCAAGGAUGUUUUCAUUA
rnacentral:rRNA from 1 species